ACAGGCCUAACACAUGCAAGUCGAGGGGCAGCGAGGAUUAGCAAUAAUUUGUCGGCGACCGGCGCACGGGUGAGUAACACGUAUGCAACCUACCUUCAACACGGGGAUAACCCGUUGAAAGACGGACUAAUAUCCGAUAAUACAGGGGCACCGCUUGGUGAUAUUUGUUAAAGAUUAAUCGGUUGAAGAUGGGCAUGCGUAUGAUUAGCUAGUUGGCGGGUAACGGCCCACCAAGGCAACGAUCAUUAGGGGUUCUGAGAGGAAGGUCCCCCACACUGGUACUGAGACACGGACCAGACUCCUACGGGAGGCAGCAGUGAGGAAUAUUGGUCAAUGGGCGCGAGCCUGAACCAGCCAAGUCGCGUGAAGGAUGACGGUCCUAUGGAUUGUAAACUUCUUUUGUGCAGGAAUAAAGUGAGGAACGUGUUCCUUUUUGUAUGUACUGUACGAAUAAGCAUCGGCUAACUCCGUGCCAGCAGCCGCGGUAAUACGGAGGAUGCGAGCGUUAUCCGGAUUUAUUGGGUUUAAAGGGUGCGUAGGCGGGCUGAUAAGUCAGUGGUGAAAGUUUGCAGCUUAACUGUAAAAUUGCCAUUGAAACUGUUAGUCUUGA
rnacentral:rRNA from 1 species